AAAAAAAAAAAAAAAAAAAAAAAAAAAGACUGCCUCAUCUUUGUUUCCCUCUUUAUCCCCCUCCAAAUCUUUUCUCCACUGCCAGGCUAGGGCGGCGCCCCCUCUGGGCCAGCAAAAGGGGAAAUGAAUCACCAGGGCUAACCACAGCUACGAGAAGCAGGGUACUGCUGGCUGGCAUCCAAAUCAGGCUAGCUGACCCCGUGUGCUGCUCCCUGAGCACUCCAAGGUGACUCAUAGUUGGACUUCCUGGGGCCACGCGACAGAAUCCUGGGCCCAGAGGCCGAGAAGCUGCCACUAAAACCGUGCUCCUGGAUGGUUCUCAGAUUUCCCAUCCGAAAAAUAUAUAGAUGUUCCCUGAAUUCAGGAUAGGGUAAGUAGCUCAUCCCAGAGGCCUAUUCCAAGCCCAGCUUGCUUCAGGUGAUCAAGAAUCAAGCCCCCAAUUCUGGAACCUAGCUUCUUUUCAGUCAUUGGAUUUCUGGGGAAGCUCCCGCCCACCUGGACAGGCAUCACCUGUCUCUGUCAUCUGACUAACAAUCUUGGAUGAAAACCUGCCCAGAAAAACAAGAUCGCAAAGCGGGACUGUGUAGCUCGGCCCGCAGCACCCUCUGGUGGUCAUAAACUCGCAUGGCCGUAAGUAUUCCAAAUCCUUCACAACCAUCCAGUUCCACUGGAGACCUGAAUUAAACCUCUGUCCCGGAUGAACCAGGAAUCUACGUUGUCACACUUGCCUCUGAUGAGUCUGAUGCCCGUGGGAGCCCGCAGAUCGCUGCUGAGUAGCUCAAGUUGAAGAACAGAGACCGUAGAUGGGGACUUCCAGGCAGAGGACCAAAAUCUGGGGGCAUUUAGAUAGUUUCUCCAAGAAGAGUUAUGAGAGGGAAACUGAGUCAGGAAGAAUCUUGGGCUUCCUGUGAGCUAUAUUCCUCUGGGAUUUUAAAUCCAUUAUCCACUAAGUGUCUUUCAAUUAAAAAGUAUUCCAAUUUUAAAUUUUUUGUUUAUUGUUGUAGGAUAAUCUUUUUGUAUACUGUGAAGAUGUGUCUCUAUCUAAGGCACAUUCUGAUUAGUUUAAUAAAAAGCUCAAUGGCCAAUAGCUAGGCAGGAGAGAAUUAGGUGGACCUUCCAGGCAGAGAGAGGACUGAGAAGAGGAAUCUAGGCCCACGGAUUGUGCCAGCAGAGUCACAGCAAGUUGGACAUGCCGUACCAAGGAAAGACUAGGCACCUGCUUUAGGACAUAAACUCAGAAAGAAGAACCUGGAAGCUGGAAUUGGAGGUGACAACAGCUGUGACUGACCACACCCAGAAGAGGAAGAGGUGGAGGAAUUUCUCAAGAUGAGGCAAGAAUUCAGGGGAGAGAGCAAGCUGUCGGGAAGAACUCAACUUCUCUGAGCCAGAUUUCCCUCUGGUGAAUCAGCUCCACCUCCAGGACAUCUUCCAAGGAGGACCCAGCAAGGACAGAAAUUGUUUGUUUGUAUGGUGGCAGGACACUGGAGACCUUCAGCGUGACACUGAUGACCUCUGGGAUGUGUGCUGGUGAAGAAUCCUCCACAGCUGGUACCAACAUGACUGUGCCAGGGAGAAAGGAAGAGUGGCUGUCAUGAGGAUGGGGAACCUGGCUGGAAUCAACUGAAAUGCAAGUCUCUGGCAUUCCUUUGCUGAUAUUAGAACCAACUUCUUCAGACCUCCAAUGCAGAUGGAAGGCCAGCAGGUCUCUAGAAUCCUCCAGGCCUUCUGUACCACGCUGGGAUUGCUGACACAUCCAGCCUCAUGAGCCGAGACACUCUAGGAUUCACAGCCUUUCCAGAGUGAGGUAGCCACUGUUGGACUAUCUGGACCAUAUGGUGCAUGUCAAUCUAAUAAAUCAUCCUAUAAAUUUUGCUCCUUUAGAGAA